rnacentral:rRNA from 1 species
AUUGAACGCUGGCGGCAUGCUUUACACAUGCAAGUCGAACGGUAACAGGCCGCAAGGUGCUGACGAGUGGCGUACGGGGGGGUAAUGCAUCGGAACGUGCCCAGUCGUGGGGGAUAACUACUCGAAAGAGUAGCUAAUACCGCAUACGAUCUAUGGAUGAAAGCGGGGGUCCGUAAGGCCUCGCGCGAUUGGAUCGGCCGAUGUCAGAUUAGGUAGGUGGUGGGGUAAAGGCUCACCAAGCCAACGAUCUGUAGCUGGUCUGAGAGGACGACCAGCCACACUGGGACUGAGACACGGCCGAGACUCCUACGGGAGGCAGCAGUGGGGAAUUUUGGACAAUGGGCGAAAGCCUGAUCCAGCAAUGCCGCGUGCAGGAAGAAGGCCUUCGGGUUGUAAACUGAUUUUGUACGGAACGAAACGGCUCUGGUUAAUACCCGGGGCUAAUGACGGUACCGUAAGAAUAAGCACCGGCUAACUACGUG